GUAGGGAAUAUUGCGCAAUGGGGGAAACCCUGACGCAGCGACGCCGCGUGAGUGAUGAAGGCCUUCGGGUCGUAAAGCUCUGUUGCAGGGGAAUAAAAAAAUGAAGGUACCCUGUGAGGAAGGAUCGGCUAACUUCGUGCCAGCAGCCGCGGUAAGACGAGGGAUCCUAGCGUUGCCCGGAAUCAUUGGGCGUAAAGAGGGCGUAGGUGGCUUGGUAAGUCAGGUGUGAAAGCCCAGGGCUCAACCCUGGAAGUGCGUUUGAUACUGCUGAGCUUGAGUGUCGGAGAGGUUACCGGAAUACCUGGUGUAGUGGUGAAAUACGUAGAUAUCAGGUGGAACACCGGAGGCGAAGGCGGGUAACUGGACGAACACUGACACUGAGGCCCGAAAGCGUGGGGAUCAAACAGGAUUAGAUACCCUGGUAGUCC
rnacentral:rRNA from 1 species